UACGUAGGGUGCAAGCGUUAAUCGGAAUCACUGGGCGUAAAGGGUGCGUAGGCGGGUCUUUUAAGUCAGGGGUGAAAUCCUGGAGCUCAACUCCAGAACUGCCUUUGAUACUGAGGAUCUUGAGUAUGGGAGAGGUGAGUGGAACUGCGAGUGUAGAGGUGAAAUUCGUAGAUAUUCGCAAGAACACCAGUGGCGAAGGCGGACUCACUGGCCCAUUACUGACGCUGAGGCACGAAAGCGUGGGGGAGCAAACAGGA
rnacentral:rRNA from 1 species